CUUUAGGUGGAUUCCCUAUUGACCUGGGUGAAGAGGAUAUCUGACAGAGACUACAGGGGAGGAGGGAAAGACAACUAAAGACCUUCCUGUCUCCCAAAUGCUGCCUCCAGAUGCUGUCACUGAAUAUGGGCUUAGCCAGAUCACCAAAUGCACUCGGCCUUUCUUUAUUCCUAUCGCCCACAACAUUUUCAGGUGGAAUUAUAAAAUGUUCUUUAGCUGAGGUGGAGCUAUAAGGGAUGAUUCAAGCCACACUCUCACCCCACCCCAGUUCUGUUCCUUGCUUUUUAUCUGGCCUGCUUGCUCACCCAGGCAGGCACCCUCAUGUACCUCUCUGCUUUUUCCCUCUUCGGUUCUUUCUCUCUGAUAAAGUGUUGUCAUAUAUAUUUGUGGCACAGCUUUUUCUGUCACAAAGGCAUGAAAUCCUGUCCUUCUUGUGACAAUACAUAGCCCAAGAGACAAAUCAGUUUGUUGGAAAUUGCUCAUUUGAAUAUCAGUGAUAACUCAUUUGACACUAAAAUGAAUUUUACAGCUUUCUAAGAUCGUAUAUUCAUGCAGUUAUUUUAUCCCCUUUUUAAAAUCACAUGAAAGGAUUUAGAACCUGCAAAGAUUGUUUAUUUUAAAGAAAACCUGUUUUGGGGGGCUCCUUUUCUAUCUCACCCCCCCCUUGUAAGAGCAAAUCUCAGCCUCCCCAGACAGACAGGAAGACUUUGCCAGAGUAUGAAUCUCAUCAACACAGACCCUGGAAACAUCGCCGGGAAUCAUUCAUAUUGAUAUCAACUCAAAAUAAUUGGAAUUACAAGAGUGAACUCUAAAAAAAAAAAAAAAUGGAGUAUCCUUUCAAGUGGCUUUGUAGGAUGAGCCCGGGAGUUGCUGUGAGGCCCUCGAGUCCUGCAUUUGCUGCUGACUAGUCUGUGACCCUGAGCAAGCCAAAAUUGCCCAAGAACACACCUCCUAGUUACUGGUUUGUUGCAAGAAUUACAGAGACUUGAAGACAGACUUAAUACUCACAUGUGUGCACACAUCUGUAUUUACUUAUGAGUAUGUUUUUGAGUGUGACAAAUUUAAAACGUGACUCUAGAUUCUUCUGUUACAUUCCUAUUGACAGGGAAGAGCAUCUUGUUCCAUUGAAUGUGUGUGGGUUUGGUUGGAUCACCCCCUCUAGCAUAGUGGACACAAUGCUGUUUAACUUCUGCACCCUUCAUUGAGACCUUCUCAAUCUGGAGUCCUAAGCCACUGGGCAAAAGUUUGAUUUUCUAGAGGCUACAAUGGUGUGAGGAAGACCCUGUCACAGAAAGACAGA